CGCCGUGAACGAGUAAACAAGUGGGGCGCAGGCGCGGGUCAAUAAUGUGUCGCCGCGCGCGUAGCGGUUCGCGACGUUUCAAAGUGAAAAAGGAUGGAAGAAUUGCUGACCUAGAGAUUGGGUUUUGAACCUUCUACCUGAUUGGGGUUCUUGAAUUCCGUGUCCCCAAUUCCAAGAAGAGGACCUCACAGCGCCAAAAACCCUCCGCGCAAACUAGGAAUGUCGCAAUAAUAAUUAAGGGAAAUUUAAAUUUUCGAAUCCGCCAAAAAAACCUGUAAUGAAGCGUUUUGAAGAAUAAAUUCUGGUUCAAUAACGUCCAUACGAACCCCCUGGGGCGUCA